rnacentral:rRNA from 1 species
AUGAACGCUGGCGGCGUGCCUUAGGCAUGCAAGUCGAACGGUCCGCAAGGACAGUGGCGGAAGGGUGAGUAACGCGUGGGAACGUACCUAUUGGUGGGGGAUAGCUUUCCGAAAGGAGGGGUAAUCCCGCAUAAGCCCGAAAGGGGAAAGAUUUAUCGCCGAUAGAGCGGCCCGCGUCCUAUCAGUUUGUUGGUGGGGUAAUGGCCUACCAAGACUAUGACGGGUAGCUGGGCUGAGAGGUCGGCCAGCCACAAUGGAACUGAGACACGGUCCAUACAUCUACGGAUGGCAGCAACCGGGAAUCUUGGACAAUGGGGGAAACCCUGAUCCAGCGACGCCGCGUGGGGGAAGAAGGCCUUCGGGUUGUAAACUCCUUUUGCCAACCAUAAUGGUUUGGAGAAUAAGCACCUGCCAACUACGU